rnacentral:rRNA from 1 species
GACGUAGGGGGCCAGCGUUGCUCGGAAUUACUGGGUGUAAAGGGUUCGUAGGCGGUUUGGCAAGUCGGGUGUGAAAACUCCGGGCUCAACUCGGAGACGCCACUCGAUACUGCCAUGACUCGAGUCCGGUAGGGGAGUGCGGAAUUCCUGGUGUAGCGGUGAAAUGCGCAGAUAUCAGGAGGAACACCGGUGGCGAAGGUGGCACUCUGGGCCGGUACUGACGCUGAGGAGCGAAAGCGUGGGGAGCGAACAGG